rnacentral:rRNA from 1 species
CCUGGAGGAAGGUGGGGAUGACGUCAAAUCAUCAUGCCCCUUAUGCUUAGGGCUACACACGUGCUACAAUGGGUAGUACAGAGGGUUGCCAAGCCGUAAGGUGGAGCUAAUCCCUUAAAGCUACUCUCAGUUCGGAUUGUAGGCUGAAACUCGCCUACAUGAAGCUGGAGUUACUAGUAAUCGCAGAUCAGAAUGCUGCGGUGAAUGCGUUCCCGGGUCUUGUACACACCGCCCGUCACACCACGGGAGUUGGAGACGCCCGAAGCCGAUUAUCUAACCUUUUGGAAGAAGUCGGCGAAGGUGGAAUCAAUAACUGGGGUGAAGUCGUAACAAGGUAGCCGUAUCGGAAGGUGCGGCUGGAUCACCUCCUUUCUAAGGAGA